CGCUCCUACGGGGGGCAGCAGUGAGGAAUAUUGGUCAAUGGGCGGGAGCCUGAACCAGCCAAGUCGCGUGAGGGACGACGGUCCUAUGGAUUGUAAACCUCUUUUGUCGGGGAACAAAGGCGCCCACGGGUGGGCGGAUGAGUGUACCCGAAGAAAAAGCAUCGGCUAACUCCGUGCCAGCAGCCGCGGUAAUACGGAGGAUGCGAGCGUUAUCCGGAUUUAUUGGGUUUAAAGGGUGCGUAGGCGGCCUGCUAAGUCUGGAGUGAAAGGUACCGGCUCAACCGGUACAGGCUCUGGAAACUGGC
rnacentral:rRNA from 1 species